UUGAUUCUUGGCAUCCCAUUACUUUCACCGUCACACUGGGUUGGUGCUUCUUUUUUAUUUCUUUCUUUAUGUAUUCUUAUUUAAUUAAACUAAAAGAUAAUUAUAGAUUACAACAUUCCUCACCCUUCUUCACUGUCUAUAUUACUUGUCCUCAAUAAUAACUACAUUCUAUGGUAAUUGUAUUUAAUUUAUUCUCAAUCAAUAUGUAUGCAUGUAUGUUUUUAGGUGAAAAAUAUGAAAAAAUAUGAAAAAUAUUCAUCCUCAAAGAAAAAUAAUAAAGACCACACCACUCCACUUGGAGCAUGCUCGCAAUUUCAUAAAGAAUGUUGUAAUUAAUUCUCUCUUUUAAAAUACAAGAAUUGUUUGGCCCCAAUUAUUGAUCUGCUCAUUGAGACGAGUAUACGAAUGUCCUUAAGUUCAUUAAAAAACUUCAAUCUCUUAUAAUAUAAAAUUUUCAGAUGAGAAUAUAUAUAUAUAUAUAUAUAUAUAUAUAUUAGAUUGGUGAUCAUAAAACUGCAGCUAAAAUUGAUGAUCCACAUUUCAGUUGCCCUCAUAAUGUUGGGACCCACAUGAUUGGUUGCUUGUAAAUUUAAAAUGGAUUCAUCCACCAAACACUGGAUUUCAAUUUUCUUUAUUUGAUGAGCUUAUAAAAAAAUUAAUAUUUCUAUAAAAAUUCAAAAAUUCAAAAUAUUCCUUUGAAAUAAAUAGUAAUCUAAUUGAUGUAGAGUAAAAUAAAUCAGUUGAAUAUCUCUACAGUUGUAAAUUUUAGUUUUUUUUUUAGUUUUUUUUAGUUUUUUAGUUUUUUAGUUUUUGAGUUUUUGAGUUUUUUUUUUUUUUUUUUUUUUUUUUUUUUUGACCCAAGACACAUCCCAAAUUAUAGACAAACUUUAUUUGAUGAAAGAUGCUUAAUAUAAUUCAUGAAUCAAUUUAUUGAAUAGUUAACUUCAGACACUAAACAUAACAUUCCAAAGUGCCAUCAACUUUAUGGUAUUACAUGUACACACAGUAUGAAAAAAGGAAAGAUAAGUCCAAGAGAAGAGAAAUUUUGAAUAAAUGUGAAGCUAUAGGAACAUUUUUGUUUGUUGCUCUGUUAAUGCCCACAUUAUAAUCAAUAUGACUAAAAAGUAUAUGCAAAAUUAUUAACAUCAAUAACUACAAAAAUACUACAAGGUAAGCAACCCUGAUAAAUUUUCAUACAUUUUCCAUUCACUAAUAUCUGAUGAAUGAACAAGAGGAGUGAGAUAAAGACCUACAAAUUAGUUACAUAUUACCUGGGCAAUCAAGGAUGAAUGAUUGUCAAUUCAAAACCAAAUCUGUUUUGUGUAGGAGUAGAGUAAAGAACCAGCUGAGAAAAGGUACCAGACAAGUUCUUUCUGUGCUAUGAGAAACCAACAAUGGCACUACAAACAGGGUCUCCAGAUCAGAGUAUCCAGAACCAUUACAAAGGGAUGGGUUGCAUGGGGAGCAGUGAGAGGCCCUGUACUCAUGUUGUUUCGAAGGGGAAAGCAUCCAAUUUUGCAGAACAGGUACCCAGCUUGCACCUCUGACCUUUUUACUUCAUCUGUCCAUUGUUCAUCUGUCUCUACAACACAUAAAUGUUGGGUAACUGCCUCAAAUUAUGUGAACAAUUCACUGAUAAACAAAAUCAAUUGUUGGGAAUCCCUAAAGUAUUGGUAUAAGGGUGCAUGGUUAAAGAUCUAGAGGUUUUGAAAAAAAGCAAAACACAAACAUAAACACAAAAAUAUUUGAGAACAAUUAAAUAGAACAAAAAAUUAGGAUUUAUUAAAAUGUUCUCAUUUGGGGAGCCAUUAGGAUUUUCUAUUCAUUCAGUACCAUGUACCAGCUGCUUACCUAUUCUGCAACUGCAGAAAGCAUCAAGUUUGGUUUUCUCAUCAAUGGGCACCAUUCCUGCCCCAUCAAUGGUCAGUUGUUGAAAGUGAAGCAAAUAGGAUUAAGAUGGGGGCACCUGUAUGAUUUCCUCAUAUACAAAGCACUAAGGGAGGAAGCUUAAUCAAUGAAGGCUUAAUGAGGAAGAGUUUUAUUUUAUUUUAUUUUUCUGGGACACAAGUAGAGGUUUAUUGCAGUAAAAGGGUUAAUUUACAAUGGAAGAGCUUUUUCACACUCCUGUGUACUGGCAGAGCACAGAAAUGAUGUUCCUGUUUGUCUUGCCAUUUCUUGUUUAAAGGAGAAUGUCAUUAGUUACAAAAUGAUUGGGUUGCUUGAUUGCUUACUUGUUUCAGGAGAGCUGCAGAGGGAUGUGAAUGCAUUUUCCUUGACAGUUCACUCAGUGAUAAGAGCUUCGAAAGCAUUCAAAAAUGUAAUCCCCUGAGUGAUGAACUGAUUGCUGAAUGCCUGGGGGAAACUGGGAAUCUGCAGGUUUUGAUGUGACUAGACAGCAGUAGUUCCUUCGAAUGAUCCACAUGAAUAUGACUGGAACAUGUUGAAUGAUGCCAUCUUGUGAUUCUACCAGAGCACUUGAAGAGAUAACAGCUGCUUGUUGCAUUUCCUGCACAGGUCAGCCUAGUAUUAUUCUAACCGUUACACAACUUUUCAAACACAUCUUCCAAUAUUUACUGCGUGCUAUAGUAAAACGUUCUGUUACUUCUUGGUCAAAAAUCUCAUUAUCAUUAGGCUUGGUUUACUUCAAGGCACAUUCUCAUAUUUUACACUCUCCUCUCGAAAGUAACAAUUCCUUACAUUCUGAGUGCAACUUGCAGUAAUCGGUACGGGAGGAAAUUAUCAUGCUGAAUCUCGAAACUUCUUUCUUCUGCCAUUAGUACUGCAAACAUCAUUAUUUGUAUUUCAUCUCUGCAAGCGUGCGUCAGCACAAAUGAACAUUCUCUAUGACAAAUCUUAUGCUUCUCAAAGUGACAUUCCAUCGAUUAUUAGGCACGCCUCCCCCGUUGUUCAGACCAAUUUCGGGAGGGUAAUUCUUUUGGCUGGUAUGUUUCCAGAAUUGCGACACACAAACCUUCUUUGAGCAGUUUCUAGAGCAGAGAUCAGUAUCCUGUAAAUCCCCAUUUCAUAUACACGAAUUCGGCAAUACAUGAUUCAAUUAAAUGCGGAGACAGAAUAGUUGUGAAUGCGAAAUUUGGAUCUGCAAGAGGAAUUUUUCCAAUCCUCCUAGAUAUAAACUUUGGGAGACUCCGUCUUUCGACAUCCAACUACGUCACUGUCACUCCAGAAAUCAGAUACCUUAAGGAACCACAUCCAAAAAUUAAGCUAAGACUAAAUAAAAUUCUGCAUUAUCUGAACGAAUGUGAAGUGUCACGGCUUCCAAAGCUAUCUUGGUGCAAUUCAGUGUGACCUUACUCUGAAAACAGCAUUGAGGAGGUCCCAAAAAAGUUCUGGCAAACUAACUCUCUUAAAUGGUGCAAUUUUUCCAUCAGUAAAAAUUGGACUGGACAACUUACAGCAGAAAAAUGAACCGGUGUUUCUAUGUCAAAAUCUCAGUUCUCCAGUGCUAAGGGAACAAAAUGAAGUGACAGUAAUCCUCUACCCAAUGAUUCUAAGUUUGAAAAUUCGUAUGACGUGCUCCAUGAAAAGCAUUUGG
rnacentral:lncRNA from 1 species